rnacentral:rRNA from 1 species
AUUGAACGCUGGCGGCAUGCCUUACACAUGCAAGUCGAACGGUAAUGCGGGGCAACCUGGCGACGAGUGGCGAACGGGUGAGUAAUAUAUCGGAACGUGCCCAGUAGUGGGGGAUAGCCCGGCGAAAGCCGGAUUAAUACCGCAUACGACCUACGGGUGAAAGCGGGGGAUCGCAAGACCUCGCGCUAUUGGAGCGGCCGAUAUCAGAUUAGGUAGUUGGUGGGGUAAAAGCCUACCAAGCCGACGAUCUGUAGCUGGUCUGAGAGGACGACCAGCCACACUGGGACUGAGACACGGCCCAGACUCCUACGGGAGGCAGCAGUGGGGAAUUUUGGACAAUGGGCGCAAGCCUGAUCCAGCCAUGCCGCGUGCGGGAAGAAGGCCUUCGGGUUGUAAACCGCUUUCGUCAGGGAAGAAAAGCUCUGGGCUAAUACCCUGGGGCGAUGACGGUACCUGAAGAAUAAGCACCGGCUAACUACGUGCCAGCAGCCGCGGUAAUACGUAGGGUGCAAGCGUUAAUCGGAAUUACUGGGCGUAAAGCGUGCGCAGGCGGUUGUGCAAGACAGAUGUGAAAUCCCCGGGCUCAACCUGGGAACUGCAUUUGUGACUGCACAGCUAGAGUACGGUAGAGGGGGAUGGAACUCCGCGUG